rnacentral:lncRNA from 1 species
CCAGAUCUAAACUUAUCUCCACGGGUGAAUAAGGAGCGAGGAUAUAAUCCACUGGCCGAGUGGUAAACUUAAAUUUUCCUUUGUAUUAUGAUUUUUUUAUGUAUUGUAUUUGUAUUAUCACUCAUAUAUUUCAAAUGGGGUACCGGCCAAAUAUGAAUUUUACAAGUUACGAACCAACGGACAGUUUGAAUAUGCCUAGUUUUGGUCUCUUGGAUCAUGGUGGUCCAUCCGGAGUCAUCAGCAACAGGAUAAUAUGCAUCAUAGGAUAUCAACAAAUUAU